rnacentral:lncRNA from 7 species
CGCGAAGAACUCAAAUCAAGAAGUGCUUGCUACUAUUGCAAAAAUGAAGGACAUCUUAUUCGCGAAUGCCCCAAGAAGCGUCUAGAUCGACUAAAGAAGAAAGCUGCCAAACAUGACCUAAGCGAUAAUUCAGAAGACCAACCAUUUUAUAAGUACGAUGAUGAAGGUCGCUUGAUUAGUAUACAUUGCGGAGCAAAGAAGAAAGGAAGUUCCUUAAUUUUAGAAGAGUUCAAUGUGAACUAAGAACCUACAAAUAACCAUGUGUCUCCUUUGCUUUCGUGCUAGCCUUCCUUAAUCUCGAGGACGAGAUUCUUUUUAAGAGGGGUAGAUUUGUAACACUAUAAAAAUCAUUAAAUAAAAAUAAUACAUUUAGUUAUUAAUGGUAUUUAUGGUAAUAAAUUUUCCUUUAAGUGUUUGUUAUUUAUGUUCAUUUGGAAUGAUUUUUUAUUGCUCAUAAUUGAUUUUUGAAUAUUGAAUAGCAUUUCUUCUUAAAUGGAAAUCCAAAUAAAUAAUAUAAUAAUUAUUAGUCCAAAAUAAAUAUUUUAUUUAUAAAUAAUUUUGGUUUAAUUAUUAUGAAUUUUAGGGUUAUUUAAAAAUAUUUUUU